rnacentral:rRNA from 1 species
AUUGAACGCUGGCGGCAUGCUUUACACAUGCAAGUCGAACGGCAGCGGGGAGGAGCUUGCUUCUCUGCCGGCGAGUGGCGAACGGGUGAGUAAUACAUCGGAACGUGUCGAGAAGAGGGGGAUAACCACCCGAAAGGGUGGCUACUACCGCAUAAAUUCUGAGGAAGAAAGCUGGGGACCUAGGAAUAGGCCUAGCGCUUUUUGAGCGGCCGAUGUCGGAUUAGCUAGUUGGGGAGGUAAAGGCUCACCAAGGCGAAGAUCUGUAGCGGGUCUGAGAGGAUGAUCCGCCACACUGGGACUGAGACACGGCCCAGACUCCUACGGGAGGCAGCAGUGGGGAAUUUUGGACAAUGGGGGCAACCCUGAUCCAGCCAUGCCGCGUGUAUGAAGAAGGCCUUAGGGUUGUAAAGUACUUUUGUUAGGGAAGAAAAGUCAGCUGUGAAUAAUGGCUGAUACUGACGGUACCUAAAGAAUAAGCACCGGCUAACUACGUG